rnacentral:rRNA from 1 species
GAUGAACGCUGGCGGCGUGCCUAAUACAUGCAAGUCGAGCGAACGGACGAGAAGCUUGCUUCGCUGAUGUUAGCGGCGGACGGGUGAGUAACACGUGGAUAACCUACCUAUAAGACGGGGAUAACUUCGGAAAACCGUAGCUAAUACCGGAUAAUAUUUUGAACCGCAUGGGUCAAAAGUGAAAGACGGUCUUGCGGUCACUUCUAGAUGGAUACGCGCUGCAUUGGCUAGUUGGUAAGGUAACGGCUUACCAAGGCAACGAUGCAUAGCCGACCUGCGAGGGUGAUCGGCCACCCUGGAACUGAGACACGGCCCAUGCUCCUACGGGAGGCAGCAGUAGGCAAUCGUCCGCAAGGGGCGGAAGCCUGACGGAGCAACGCCGCGUGAGUGAUGAAGGUCUUCGGAUCGUAAAACUCUGUUAUUAGGGAAGAACAUAUGUGUAAGUAACUGUGCACAUCUUGACGGUACCUAAUCAGAAAGCCACGGCUAACUACGUG